AGUGAACGCUGGCGGUAGGCCUAACACAUGCAAGUCGAACGGCAGCACAGUAAGAGCUUGCUCUUACGGGUGGCGAGUGGCGGACGGGUGAGGAAUACAUCGGAAUCUACUUUUUCGUGGGGGAUAACGUAGGGAAACUUACGCUAAUACCGCAUACGACCUACGGGUGAAAGCAGGGGAUCUUCGGACCUUGCGCGAUAGAAUGAGCCGAUGUCGGAUUAGCUAGUUGGCGGGGUAAAGGCCCACCAAGGCGACGAUCCGUAGCUGGUCUGAGAGGAUGAUCAGCCACACUGGAACUGAGACACGGUCCAGACUCCUACGGGAGGCAGCAGUGGGGAAUAUUGGACAAUGGGCGCAAGCCUGAUCCAGCCAUACCGCGUGGGUGAAGAAGGCCCUCGGGUUGUAAAGGCCUUUUGUUGGGAAAGAACAGCAGCAGGUUAAUACCCCGCUGUUCUGACGGUACCCAAAGAAUAAGCACCGGCUAACUUCGUG
rnacentral:rRNA from 1 species